rnacentral:lncRNA from 1 species
UUCUCUCAUUUUUAUUUUGGAGGUUGUCUCGUAAGCUUUCAAUUAGCUUUUUCAAUGCAAAGUAUCAGCGUCAUCUUCCAUUCCUACAACAAAAUUGUAGUUUUAUUAAUGGUUAAAGUAUCAAAUAAGUCCCUAUUAUAGUGAUCAUUAUCACAUUUGGCUCUCUAUAGUUAAGUUGAUUCAAUUAAACCCUCAUACUAUCUAAAAUCAAAUAAUUGGGCCCUCUGCCCAAACGGCGACUUAACAGCCGUUAUCUAUUUUAAUUUUUUUUUAAGUUUAACACAGUUAAUUUUUCGUCGAAAACACACCGUAGGUUUUGACUGGAUGAAGCCAAAGCAACCCGCCUGAGUUUUGACCGUAAAAUUGGCCGGAAACACACUAGAUGCAACCAAAGCAAUCACCGCCUAGGGUUUCGCGCCGCCACUGAGCGUCACCGCUACCUGCACAGCCUCCGUCCGCUUGUCGCUGACUACCUUCUGAAUUCGCUACCGGACAAAUACGCAACGAGAAGGAGGCGCGAUUAAAAUCGCGGGCAUCUCCCCGUCUAAAAAAUGACAAGCCCACGUCUGAAAUCACGCUGCCCACGCUGCGAUUCAGAACUUCGCGCCGCCUCACAGCAACCCCAGCAACGACAACUCCGUUGGAAAUCGUUCACGGCGGUUGGGCUGGCAAGAUUUGCCGGAGCAAAACCCAGCCCCCAAUCGCCGUCGACUCCCAGACGAAC